rnacentral:rRNA from 1 species
GAUGAACGCUGGCGGCGUGCUUAACACAUGCAAGUCGAACGAAGCACUUUUUUUGAUUUCCUUCGGGACUGAUUAUUUUGUGACUGAGUGGCGGACGGGUGAGUAACGCGUGGUUAACCUGCCUUGUACAGGGGGAUCACAGUUGGAAACGGCUGCUAAUACCCCAUAAGCGCACAGCAUCGCAUGAUGCAGUCUGAAAAACUCCGGUGGGAUAAGAUGGACCCGCGUUGGAUUAGCAAGUUGGUGAGGUAACGGCCCACCAAGGCGACGAUCCAUAGCCGAGAUGAGAGGGUGACCGGACACAUUGGGACUGAGACACGGCCCAAACUCCUACGGGAGGCAGCAGUGGGGAAUAUUGCACAAUGGGCGAAAGCCUGAUGCAGCGACGCCGGGUGAGCGAAGAAGUAUGUCGGUAUGUAAAGCUCUAUCAGAAGGGAAGAUAAUGACGGUACCUGACGAAGAAGCACCGGCUAAAUACGUG